rnacentral:rRNA from 1 species
CUCAAGCUCCAGCCCUACGUCCAAGUCUCCGUCGCCAGCCGCCCCUGUUGCAAGUUGGCGUACAAGUUCUUUGGUCCCUUCACCGUCCUGGAGCGUGUUGGCAACCUCGCCUAUCACCUGGAGCUGCCACCGAACGGGCGCAUUCAUCCAGUCUUCCACAUCUCCCAGCUCAAGCCGUUCGUCCCCAGCUACACUCCCGUCUUCUCGGAGCUGCCAAAGGUGCCUGAUCUGAAGACGACGCCACUAAAACCCAUUGCCAUCCAGGAACGCCGCAUGGUCAAGAAAGGAGAUGCCGCCCUCACUCAGGUACGGGUGCAAUGGUCCACUUUGCCAGCCGACGCAACCACCUGGGAAGAUUAUGGCGUCAUUCGGAAGCGUUUCCCUGACGCUGAGCUCUGGGAAGAAGAUGAAGCAGCUGCUCAAGGAGGGGCGACUGUAACGCCUUCAGGUUCAGUCCAGCAGUUAGCUGAACCCUGA